GACGAACGCUGGCGGCGUGCUUAACACAUGCAAGUCGAACGGAAAGGCCCUGCUUUUGUGGGGUGCUCGAGUGGCGAACGGGUGAGUAACACGUGAGUAACCUGCCCUUGACUUUGGGAUAACUUCAGGAAACUGGGGCUAAUACCGGAUAGGAGCUCCUGCUGCAUGGUGGGGGUUGGAAAGUUUCGGCGGUUGGGGAUGGACUCGCAGCUUAUCAGCUUGUUGGUGGGGUAGUGGCUUACCAAGGCUUUGACGGGUAGCCGGCCUGAGAGGGUGACCGGCCACAUUGGGACUGAGAUACGGCCCAGACUCCUACGGGAGGCAGCAGUGGGGAAUAUUGCACAAUGGGCGGAAGCCUGGUGCAGCAACGCCGCGUGCGGGAUGACGGCCUUCGGGUUGUAAACCGCUUUCGCCUGUGACGAAGCGUGAGUGACGGUAAUGGGUAAAGAAGCACCGGCUAACUACGUG
rnacentral:rRNA from 1 species